rnacentral:lncRNA from 1 species
GGAGUUGGCUGCCCAGAAAUCUGAGAGAAAAUAAGACAUGUAAAGUCCUGCUCACCCAUGAAAGUUUCUAAAUACAGGAGCUCUGAUUCUAAAAUCAUCUCCAUUUAUAUUGGUUUAUCUUUUUAAGACACUUUGUUGUUUCAGAGCUACCUUGCCAUGAAGAUUCAUUACCUUUUCUUUGCUCUUUUCUUCCUUGGCCAGCUGUCUACCUCAGUUUAUCUUCUUCAGCAAGUUCUUCUUUCAGUUCAGAAUAUCCUCAAGCAGGAUGAGCCUGGAGAAAAACUGUGAAAUUAUUGGAGUUUACCUUUAAAACCAUAAAAUGAUAAGGGCCUGAUAGGGUUAAGAAUCAAAAGAAAGGAAUGGUGGGCCAGGCACGGUGGCUCACACCUGUAAUCCCAACAAUUUGGGAGGCCAAGGUGGGCAGAUCACAAGGAACUGAAGAUGCUUAUGAAGUCAUUAGUAUCAUGGACUGUAAAAAUCAAACACUGUGUAAUUCUCAGAAUACAACUAGACACUGCUCUCAUGGGAAGGAGAUUGAACUAUGUGUCUUGCGUCUUGGAAAAAAUGCAAAGCGACUCACUAACCAUGAAGAAACAGCAAAUUAGGAAGACAGGAUGAUCAAUUUCCUUGUCUUAUUAAAAAAUAAAGUCUGCUUUCUUUUCUCUCUCCUUUUAAAAAAAAA